AGUCUGAUGUCAAAGCCCGGAGCUCAACUCCGGUUCGGCAUUGGAUACUGGCAAGCUAGAGUGCAGGAGAGGCAAGGGGAAUUCCUAGUGUAGCGGUGAAAUGCGUAGAUAUUAGGAGGAACACCAGUGGCGUAAGCGCCUUGCUGGACUGUAACUGACGCUGAGGGACGAAAGCCAGGGGAGCAAAUGGGAUUAGAUACCCCAGUAGUCCUGGCCGUAAACGAUGGAUACUAGGUGUCGCGGGUAUCGACCCCUGCGGUGCUGCAGCUAACGCAAUAAGUAUCCCGCCUGGGGAGUACGCACGCAAGUGUGAAACUCAAAGGAAUUGACGGGGACCCGCACAAGCGGUGGAACAUGUGGUUUAAUUCGAAGCAACGCGAAGAACCUUACCAGGGCUUGACAUCCCGAGAACUUUCCAGAGAUGGAUUGGUGCCCUUCGGGGAACUCGGUGACAGGUGGUGCACGGUUGUCGUCAGCUCGUGUCGUGAGAUGUUGGGUUAAGUCCCGCAACGAGCGCAACCCUCGUUGUUAGUUGCCAGUAAGAGCCUGCUCUUGCUGUGCUCUCCAGCGAGACUGCCGGUGAUAAACCGGAGGAAGGUGGGGACGACGUCAAAUCAUCAUGCCCCUUAUGUCCUGGGCUACACACGUGUUACAAUGGGUAGGACAGCGAGCAGCCAACCAGCAAUGGUGAGCAAAUCUCUUAAACCUACUCUCAGUUCGGAUCGCAGUCUGCAACUCGACUGCGGAAGUCGGAAUCGCU
rnacentral:rRNA from 1 species